GCCUCUGUAGCUCAGUGGUUAGAGCACUGGUCUUGUAAAACAGGGGUCGAGAGUUCGAUC
rnacentral:tRNA from 1 species